rnacentral:lncRNA from 1 species
CAAGAAUAUACAAAAUAAAAACAAAUGAUAGGCGUGAAAAUAGUUGGGAAGAAAAAUUCUUUUUGAAUGUAUGCGGCAAUAUUAUUAUUUGCAUAAAUGUUUUAAGCGCUAAAGAUUCAAGUAAGUGAAUCACUCAGCUUUUAAAUUGUCUCCUCUAAUAACUGCAGCCAUAUGUAAUUUACAUAAUAUAAAAUUAAGGACACUAAAUUAAGAGUUAGAAAAAUAUGACUAUUUUCUUAAAUGCAUCACAUUGAAAUUAGAGAAAUCUAAUGCCCAGUAUCACGAGGUCAAAGUAAUCUUACCCGUCUGACUUCAAAUUGCCUUAAUUUCCGAAAUAGAGUCAUCUAGGAGAACAUUUCCAAAUGAGGUAAUGCUAGAGUAAUUUCAUCCAUGAAAUUAGAUAUAGUGUCUACAUGUUGAUAAACUCUUAAUUUUGUCCAGAUUGCACUGGAUUUAUUGAUUCCUCCCAUGCCUAAUAACAAAACAUCAUUAUGUUUGUAUUAUAGAGUAAUCAGAGGAGUUCUCAUUGUGGCUCAGUGAGUUAAGAACGUGACAGUAUCCAUGAAGAUGUGAGUUCAAUCCCUGGCCCCUCUCAGUGGGUUAAGAAUCCAGCAUUGUCACAAGCUGCAGCAUAAAUUGCAGAUGCAGCUUGAAUCUGGAGUUGCUGUGGCUGUGGUGUAGUCAGGCAGCUGCAGCUCUGACUCGAUCCCUAGCCUAGAUAUGUCCAUGUGCUGUGGGUAUGGCCCAAAAAAGAAAAAAAAAAAAAAAAAGAGUAAUCAGGUAAAAAAGGGCAAAAUACAGUUUUUUAGCACAAACAUAUGAACCACUGUGCCGAUAUGCAACAUGACUUGGAAUAGACAGAGGAGUCCUUACUAUAGGAAAAAAACAGGUUAAUAACUAAUGAAAAGCUGAUUUCAAGUAUCAGGAAAUAUUCUGAUUUAAGUUACUUCUUGAAACAUAAAUUUAAAAGUCAUGAAAAAAAGUUGCUGUCAUAUUUUUUACAAAUAGGUGAAAAGAAGCAGCUGUGGUCUAGUUUUUUGAAGAGCAGCUCAUUUGCAUAUUGCUGAAUUGUACAAAAUUAUAAAUAAUUUCAUAAAAUUGUUUGUUCAUUAGAAAGUGAAAGUUAAUAGACUCUGCCAAUAUUUAACACAUUUUUUAUGACUCUUAUGUAGCUAUAUCAUUCCCAAAGUCACCUAAUUAAUUCUGGUCAUAUACUAUAUGUCUCCAUAUACAUUGCUUUGAAAGAUGCCAUAGUUAAAAACUGGCUUGAAAAUGGGAAGCCUACCAAAAGUUUUAUCACUUAAGCAAGGUUUGAGUAAGUUCUUUCAGGCAUGCUUCAUAGAUACUGGUUCUAUGAGCAACCCUCAGACUCACAUAUCCUUUUCUUUUAUGUUAUGCUUUUAUCUCUUAGGGGAAAAUAUCCUGUUGAAAAAGUACUUUUAUAGGAAGUUUUAUGUAAAAACUUGAUGGAAGUUAUGACAAAGGAUGGAUUUGUUACAGCCUUGUUGGUUAAUGCUAAUGAAAUGGAUUUAUUUCUUAAACACAGGAUUAUUUCACUGUACCUAAAUAUAAGUGUAGUUUAGACUGAGAUUGUUAGAACCGGGAACUGGAGUCAUUAGUAACCUUGGCAUAUGCCAGAUCUCUGAUUUGUCCUCUCUUGUCCUGUUCUUCUUUCUCCCCUCACCACAGAGUGACUUUCUCUAAUUUUUUGUUUGUUUUGAUUUUAGAGUUUUGUUUUUCUCACAUAAAAUUUUUCAGAACAGGUAUUUUGUUGUUACUAACACAAAGUGACUUGAACUCCAGUAAUGCAACUCAAAAAUACAUUUAAGGAAAAUCUGAUUAGUCCAGUAAGGGUGAAGUAUCUAUUCAGUUGGUUUUGGUCUGGGAGAUGAGAAAAAGAAGGUGAAACUUCCUAAAAGCUGUAAUGGGGCUGGGGCAAGUGCCCAGAAAUGUUCUGCUCCAUUGUUAACUCAUCACUGCUUAUUUUCAUGGCAUAUGAAUAUUAAAAUGCUGGUGGCUCAGUGCCAGAACUGUUUCUUGGUCUUUUUUAACUAUGUGAUAAGUAUAUUAUACAUAUGAAAAUGUACACUUCAGAGAAUGGGAGGCACAUUCUUUGGGACCAUAUUUAAAAUGUGGCCAGGAGUUCCCGUCAUGGCUCAGAGGUUAAUGAAUCUGAUUAGCAUCCAUGAGGAUGCUGGUUUGAUCCCUGGCCUUGUUCAGUGGGUUAAAGAUCCGGUGUUGCCAUGAGCUGUGGUGUAUGUUGAAGACUGACUCUAUAGUUAGUUGGCUAGAGUUAGUUUCUAGGAAAUUAAUCAAAAAUAGCAUUUCAGUUAUAGUAAGUCUUUAGAGAAAACAAAGCGUAUAAAAGGGAUUGUCUGGGAGUUUCUGCUGUGACAAAAUGGGUUCGGUUCUUUCUUUACGGUGCUAGGCCACAGGUUUGAUCUUUGGCUGGGCACACUGGGCUAAAGGAUCCAGCAUUGCCACAGCUUUGGCAUAGGUCACAACUGAGGCUUGAAUCUGACCCCUGGUCUGGUAACUCCAUAUGCUGCAGGAUAGCCAAACAAGGAAGAAAGAAAAAAAAAGAGGAUUGUGAGCAACCAAGAGGAGGGGGGAAGCCCUAGACUUUUUGUUAGAUAUUUCAAAUAUCAGUCCAAAUGGUUAAAUGCAAAUUAAAAAAUUCAGUUCAGUUCUAAAUAUUUAUAAAUCUUUUCCUCAAUCCUAAAUAUCUAUUAUAGUUAACAUAGCUAACAUUUAUUGAAAUUACACUAAUGUAUGAAGCAGGAUGCUGCCUCUUUACAUGCAUUACUUCAUGAAAUUCUAAGAGGUGCGUAUAUUUUACAUUCACAUUUGGAGAUCGGAACAUUUAAAUAUUGCUUGUGAAAGGCCAUGAAAUUAAGAAAUUAGAAGAGCCAGAAUUCUAACUCUAUUAUGUCAGAAACUAGAUCAGUUCUGCAUCAUGUGUUAUAUAUCCCCUAGGUUUUUUUUUUUAAUUCUUACUCAUAUUAAAAAAUAUAUAUAUUUCUGACACAUAUAAGCAGGAUUUAUCAUAUCUAGUCUCUUUUUUUCUAUAGAAGAUUUUUUUUCUGUUCAUUGCUCCUAAAGGUGGCAUUUAAUUUCUAACAUUUUGUCAUGUUAGAGACCACUAAAUUCAGAUUCCCUCUUCCCCAAAUGCUAAUAAAGAUUAAAUAAAAUGGUAACUGUGCAUAGUGGAGAAGUGGUUCGCAGAUAUUCCAGAAUGAACCUUAGGAACACAUUACCUCAUAGGAAUAGUGUGAUAAACCAGAAUGUAAUUAGUAGUAUUCUGGAUCAGGCACUUAAUGUUGGAUACAGUUGAGUUAAUCUGAGAAGCUAAGUAAUGCUAUUUCUGCAAACAGACGAAUCACAUACAUACUUUUUGCACAUAACCCAGUUGUAAGGUAGCGUCAUUACCUUGCAGUGCAACCUCGCCAGCAGUGGUUACAGGAUACACAAUAUCUGUAAGCACUGGGUCAGUGGAGCAUCAGUUAUGGGUCCUGCCUUAAGAAUUUUAUAGCUUAGUAAGUAAUGGCAGUGAUCUUUAAGUAAUACUCAAAUUACUGAGACAAAAGUAAGUGAAAUUAAAGUUGGUAAAACUAGUUCGGAAUAAAUAUGUUCUUAAAUAGCAUAAAUAGUUCAUUUAUUUACAAAGAAUGUUAAGCACACGUUUAUUUUUAGCAUUUUAUAUGAAUUUAUGUUAUGCAGAAGCACUCACAGAUGUAAAACACCUGUGUUCAACAAUAAGGACACUGUUUAAAAGCAAAAAGGUGAAGCAUAUUAAGGAUGGAUAUAAAAGGUAAAAGUCUAAAGCUACUAGAAAUGAGUGCUACUACCUCUAAUUGGAUAAGAAAUAGUAUUUUGCACUGGUAGGUGAAUAUUCAAAGGACAUUAACUUCAUCUUUUGGAGAAAAAGAAAUGUACUUGAACUGGUAGGCGACAUAAUGGGUGUGUGUUUUUAGAUGCAUUUUUAUUUUUGCUAACAUUUUUCAACAGCUUUAAUCUCAUAUUUGGUGAUUCAUCUAAUUGCUAAAUUAUGAUCUACCCAAAUAGUCAGAUGUACCUUUUGUAUUGUUUAAUUGCAUAACCACAAUUGCCUGGAUUAGUCCAAACUCACAAAAUUUGAAGAAUGACUUGGAAAUAAGUUGAAUGGGCUGAUCACAAAGAACAAUGCAUUCCUUAUUUAACAUUUUAAUAAAAAUCAUCUGCUUUAGAGAAUUUGCUUCAAGCAAUAAUAUUUUCUAUACACCCUUUAUGCACUUUUUCACUUUCUGGAUAUGCUUUUGUUAUAAACUAGGGUGAGAGAUUGAAAAAAAUGUUUAGUACAAUACCACUCUGCAACUUUUGGCUCUAUAGUAAUAAUUUUCCAAAUUGGUGAUGGAAAUUGAUAAACUUCUUUAGUAAAGACCUGUAUAUGCAUUUACUUCUGUAAGCCUGCAGGAAUAACUAUGAUUCCUGUAAAAUUCAGGAAGCUAUUGUUUCAACUGCCAACUAAAAGACAAAAGCCAAUUUUUUUUUGUAAAUGUCAGUAUUUUAACUAACUUUCAGAAUCAUUAGAUCUAAUAUUAAUAUAUUAUAGCUAUACUAUUUUUCUUUAAUGAACAAUAUGAUUGAAUGUUAGGAAGAACUGUAUUCUCCUUAAUAAGUCCUAAGCUAAUGGGUUGCUUUUUAUAAAGUAUUUUAGUUAGUAGAUUCUCAAAAGACAGAUGCCCCUCAAUAUUUUUUCUAACAAAUUACAUUUUCUAAACAUUGAUGAAAAUCAUUCUUUACAUCCAGUAUCCCACAUCUGUUAAUGAAAAUGUUUGGCAAGUCCAAAUGCAGCGGAUUUUGGUUCACCACCUCCUCCACCUUCAUCUGAGAUGUGACAUCCACAGCAGAGUUCCUCUAAUAUCAGGCUUUGUGCUAAUGAUACUGGUUCUGAAUAUUUAUUCCUUAGGACAAGGCAACUUGACAUCUUCCUUAUGUUUAAGAUAGUUAACAAAGUGCCAUCUAUCUAACAUAUUUUCUCUCAUUGAGGAAUCUUUUCCUCUAUUUAAAAAAUGCGUUAUAAAUACCAUUAAUGAAAAAUUUCUCAUGAUUUAGAAUAAGAUAUAAAAUACCAUGCUUUCAAAAAAAUGGAGUUCUUUUGUGGCACAGAGGGUUAAGGAUCCCUCUUACAUUGUCGUAUCUUGGGUUGCUACUGUGACACGGGUUUGAACCCUGGCCCAGG